GGUUGAUCCUGCCAGUAGUCAUAUGCUUGUCUCAAAGAUUAAGCCAUGCAUGUCUAAGUAUAAACAUCUUUAUACUGUGAAACUGCGUACAGCUCAUUAUAUCAGUAAUAAUUUAUUUGAUGGUACUUCACUACACGGACACCUGUAGAAAAGCUAGAGCUAAUACGUGCGUAAAGUCCCGACUGGGGGGUUUGGGGGUUUCGGCCCUCUCUCUCACCCGGAAGGGAUGUACUUAUUAGAUAAAAAACCAAUGCGUUCGGGCUUCGGCUCGGGCGGUUUUGUGUUGAUUCAUA
rnacentral:rRNA from 1 species